rnacentral:rRNA from 1 species
GACGAACGCUGGCGGCGUGCUUAACACAUGCAAGUCGAACGGAAAGGCCCUGCUUUUGUGGGGUGCUCGAGUGGCGAACGGGUGAGUAACACGUGAGUAACCUGCCCUUGACUUUGGGAUAACUUCAGGAAACUGGGGCUAAUACCGGAUAGGAGCUCCUGCUGCAUGGUGGGGGUUGGAAAGUUUCGGCGGUUGGGGGUGGACUCGCGGCUUAUCAGCUUGUUGGUGGGGUAGUGGCUUACCAAGGCUUUGACGGGUAGCCGGCCUGAGAGGGUGACCGGCCACAUUGGAACUGAGAUACGGCCCAGACUCCUACGGGAGGCAGCAGUGGGGAAUAUUGCACAAUGGGCGGAAGCCUGAUGCAGCAACGCCGCGUGCGGGAUGACGGCCUUCGGGUUGUAAACCGCUUUCGCCUGUGACGAAGCGUGAGUGACGGUAAUGGGUAAAGAAGCACCGGCUAACUACGUG